CUGGAGGUAUCAGAAGUGCGAAUGCUGACAUAAGUAACGAUAAAGCGGGUGAAAAGCCCGCUCGCCGGAAGACCAAGGGUUCCUGUCCAACGUUAAUCGGGGCAGGGUGAGUCGACCCCUAAGGCGAGGCCGAAAGGCGUAGUCGAUGGGAAACAGGUUAAUAUUCCUGUACUUGGUGUUACUGCGAAGGGGGGACGGAGAAGGCUAUGUUGGCCGGGCGACGGUUGUCCCGGUUUAAGCGUGUAGGCUGGUUUUCCAGGCAAAUCCGGAAAAUCAAGGCUGAGGCGUGAUGACGAGGCACUACGGUGCUGAAGCAACAAAUGCCCUGCUUCCAGGAAAAGCCUCUAAGCAUCAGGUAACAUCAAAUCGUACCCCAAACCGACACAGGUGGUCAGGUAGAGAAUACCAAGGCGCUUGAGAGAACUCGGGUGAAGGAACUAGGCAAAAUGGUGCCGUAACUUCGGGAGAAGGCACGCUGAUAUGUAGGUGAAGUCCCUCGCGGAUGGAGCUGAAAUCAGUCGAAGAUACCAGCUGGCUGCAACUGUUUAUUAAAAACACAGCACUGUGCAAACACGAAAGUGGACGUAUACGGUGUGACGCCUGCCCGGUGCCGGAAGGUUAAUUGAUGGGGUUAGCCGCAAGGCGAAGCUCUUGAUCGAAGCCCCGGUAAACGGCGGCCGUAACUAUAACGGUCCUAAGGUAGCGAAAUUCCUUGUCGGGUAAGUUCCGACCUGCACGAAUGGCGUAAUGAUGGCCAGGCUGUCUCCACCCGAGACUCAGUGAAAUUGAACUCGCUGUGAAGAUGCAGUGUACCCGCGGCAAGACGGAAAGACCCCGUGAACCUUUACUAUAGCUUGACACUGAACAUUGAGCCUUGAUGUGUAGGAUAGGUGGGAGGCUUUGAAGUGUGGACGCCAGUCUGCAUGGAGCCGACCUUGAAAUACCACCCUUUAAUGUUUGAUGUUCUAACGUUGACCCGUAAUCCGGGUUGCGGACAGUGUCUGGUGGGUAGUUUGACUGGGGCGGUCUCCUCCUAAAGAGUAACGGAGGAGCACGAAGGUUGGCUAAUCCUGGUCGGACAUCAGGAGGUUAGUGCAAUGGCAUAAGCCAGCUUGACUGCGAGCGUGACGGCGCGAGCAGGUGCGAAAGCAGGUCAUAGUGAUCCGGUGGUUCUGAAUGGAAGGGCCAUCGCUCAACGGAUAAAAGGUACUCCGGGGAUAACAGGCUGAUACCGCCCAAGAGUUCAUAUCGACGGCGGUGUUUGGCACCUCGAUGUCGGCUCAUCACAUCCUGGGGCUGAAGUAGGUCCCAAGGGUAUGGCUGUUCGCCAUUUAAAGUGGUACGCGAGCUGGGUUUAGAACGUCGUGAGACAGUUCGGUCCCUAUCUGCCGUGGGCGCUGGAGAACUGAGGGGGGCUGCUCCUAGUACGAGAGGACCGGAGUGGACGCAUCACUGGUGUUCGGGUUGUCAUGCCAAUGGCACUGCCCGGUAGCUAAAUGCGGAAGAGAUA
rnacentral:rRNA from 1 species